GCUGGCUGGCGGGCCAGGAUCGAGCUCGCCGCCCGCCGGGAGCGGGCGAUGUACCAGCGGCAUCCGUGGGUGCUUCCGAUCGUCGCCGGCACCUGGCG
rnacentral:tRNA from 1 species